rnacentral:lncRNA from 1 species
UAUUAUUAGAUUUAAAAAAAUAUGGCAAAUUAUAGCAAAAAUGUGUUAGAUGCCCUAACAGAAACUACAUUUACGUGUUCAACGAAUGGGUGGAUACUCCAACUUGCAUUUUGUAAUGUGGUUGGAUACGACUGGGCAGGAAGGGGGGCGUUUGGCGUGGCACAUGUCCCGUCCCUUAUGUCAACUUAUACACCACUUGUAUAUGCUGUAAAGUAAGAAAAUUUAAUUUAAAAUUUUUCAUACAAAAUAUAAUCAUUGUUUUUUAGGUUCAAAUAUUUAUAACAAUGUAGCAUUUCACUACGAGGGUGUUAAAACGUAACAAAGACCUCCCCCCUUCAAUCUAAAAUAGACCACUAAUAUUUGGAAAUGGAUUGGAAGCAAAUUGGAACAAUUUUUUGUGUAUAAAGAUGACAUAUUUUAUCAGAAAAACACU